CCGCAGGGGUGCCGCAAGAUAUUUGGCUGAGACAGCGCAUUGAUGCGCUGAACCCUUAUACCUGAUACGGAUAAUGCCGUCGUAGGAAGUUAU
rnacentral:ncRNA from 1 species